UACGAAGGGUGCAAACGUUGCUCGGAAUUAUUGGGCGUAAAGCGCACGUAGGCGGCUUAGCAAGUCGGAUGUGAAAUCCCUCGGCUCAACCAAGGAAGUGCAUCCGAAACUGCUGAGCUUGAGUACGAAAGAGGAUCGCGGAAUUCCCGGUGUAGAGGUGAAAUGCGUAGAUAUUGGGAGGAAUACCAGUGGCGAAGGCGGCUCCCUGGACCGGUACUGACGCUGAGGCGCGAAAGCGUGGGUAGCAAACAGG
rnacentral:rRNA from 1 species